rnacentral:rRNA from 1 species
GCAAGUCGAGGGGUAACAGAGUUUUAGCUUGCUAAAACUGCUGACGACCGGCGCACGGGUGCGUAACGCGUAUGCAACCUACCUUCUACAGGGGGAUAGUCAAUAGAAAUGUUGAAUAAUACCCCAUACGAUCAUUUAUCUGCAUAGAUUAAUGAAGAAAGCUCCGGCGGUAGAAGAUGGGCAUGCGUCCUAUUAGUUAGUUGGUAAGGUAACGGCUUACCAAGACAUCGAUAGGUAGGGGUCCUGAGAGGGAGAUC